rnacentral:rRNA from 1 species
UACGAAGGGGGCUAGCGUUGCUCGGAAUCACUGGGCGUAAAGGGUGCGCAGGCGGUUCUGCAAGUCAGGCGUGAAAUCCCCCGGGCUUAACCUGGGAAUGGCGCUUGAAACUACGGGACUGGAGUAUGGCAGAGGGAGGUGGAAUUCCACGUGUAGCGGUGAAAUGCGUAGAGAUGUGGAGGAACACCGAUGGCGAAGGCAGCCUCCUGGGCCAAUACUGACGCUCAUGCACGAAAGCGUGGGGAGCAAACAGG